UAAAUAAGUUGGUGUUAAAAGGCAAAAUAAGGUAGACAUUGCCGGAUCAGCACCAGCAAUAUAACAUUUAAGACAAAGCGUGUUCCUUCAUUCUCAGUGUGGUUCGAUGCAAAUGAAAAGGCGAUCACAUUUCAGUCGUUGUUUUUAAUAGUAAACGUCUGGUUGUUAAAUGGGCAAAUGCGAACGUUAAGAGGACAUGGACGGGCAACCACAAGACCUAAACCAAUCAAUGGGCACAAACAAGCGGGUGCUUUAAAUAAAAGGGGAAGGGCAUCAAAUGCCAAUCAAAGCGCGCAUCAAUGGUGUUAAAAUCGAACACCCUUGAGUUCUGUGAUUGAAUGGGUAUGUUGCUGAUUUCUUUUGUAAGCCGGAGCUUCUAGUGAACAUGUGGAUUUCUCUUUCCCCAGAGCGAACAUUUUCUUUGGUUACCGGUUUUACUGACAUUGUCAUCUGGCGUAUCUUUAACUUAAGACUCUUACCUUUCCUGAUUAAAACAAGACAAUAGAUCUAGUUGUAAACGACUUUAAUUCUCAGCUUAACGCAGCUUUUGAGAUGAAGCGAAAAUCGAAGACAGACUCUAAGCGAAUUUCAAUAAACUCGACUUAGAGCCACCGAACACAUAGGAAAAGACUUUAUACAAAAGAGAAGACAAAGAAAAACCAUGAAGAAAGAAGACGGGGUAAACAGAAAACAAUCCAGCAUAUCUCCGAAGGAAGACUGGUCCUCAACUGCGUGAGUAAAGGGACGCUGUGGAAAACAUACAUGAAAAGCAAGCAGAAAGAGACAGAGACCGAAACUACAAGACUGAUCAGAAAUGUGGGCCACUAGGGAAAUAAGCACAAACCAGACUGAAACAGUGAAGUAUUGAACCUCUCCGUGAACACCUCUACUCAGCCAACAGACAGAAGCUUUCCGUACAGGCCAUAUAAAAGCGCCUAUAUUAAUACGAUUGGGGGUACGUCUUCAGAAAUUCUUCCAGCUCUUGUAAUCUUUUAAACAAAGAGUGUUUUCAGGACAUUUAUUCAUUGUUGUCUAACUAAAACAAAACAGUAUUGGACUGAACAAUAUAUAUAUAUA